UGUGCUCCAAGACUGACCGCCACUUUACAUCCUCUAUAGGUUCUAAAAACCCUGGAGGUCCCACCCUCGGCAGACUCCCCAACCCGACCAUUCCUUUCUCUCGCUGCUGAGCCAGGCUCAGGCUUCGGAGCCGGUGAUUGGUUCCCAAGCCUGGAAGCCUGAGGUCCUCCAACACCUCCUAUCACUGAGACGAGGACCAGCCAGAUGGCCUAGAAGGGACUGACUCUAUAACGACGGCGGAAGUUCCCGGAAAUGAUGCAAUGACUCGUUUCCGGGUGCUCCGCUGUUUGGUGUUGGGUCCGCUAGAGAUUUUACUGCGCCUGCGCCCCAGCGAUUCCGGGCCCGAGGGAUUCGUCCCAGCUUCUCUGCGUUGGUGAUCUCUGAAGUCCCUUUCAUUUAAACAUCCCGUGAUCCUACGACUAAUUCAGUUUGAAGAUUAAAUUGGUGAGGAUGGGAAGAACGCUUUUAAAACAUUUUUCAAAGUUUCUUUGCUGGGAAAUAGAACAUCCAGAGAUGGUGAGACCAAGUUUAAGAUUUCAUAAGAGGGAAUUUCUGAAGAAGCAAAAUUAACACAGGACUACAUGAAGAGGAUUCUAGAAGGGAACAGUUCCCAGGAACUUGUGUUUGGAAGACCUCUGAAGAAGAUGGGAGUUUAAAAAUUCAGGAGGGAAACAGUGCUGUGAGGGAGAGACUGAAGAGAGGAAAAAGAGACUUAAGACAAGUGAGAGUCAAGGACAAGCAAAUUCCUUCAGGAGAGGAUCCAGAAACAUAAAGAAUUUAUUUCAUUUUAAAGAAUUCAUACCAGGAUGAACGAGGAGAUAACCUCAAAUCAGAAAAAUUUAGAAGAAAAAGAAGCACACACAUUAUAACUUUAGAUUCCAAAGUCUCUUGCUCCAAGGAUCUAAUUUCAGAGAAGGUGAGAGACUAGAGAGGCAGUGGG
rnacentral:lncRNA from 1 species